rnacentral:rRNA from 1 species
UACGUAGGGGGCAAGCGUUGUCCGGAAUCAUUGGGCGUAAAGGGCGCGUAGGCGGCCGAUCAAGUCGGAGGUGAAAUCCCUCGGCUCAACUGAGGAAUUGCCUUCGAUACUGUUCGGCUUGAGUCCUGGAGAGGGUAGCGGAAUUCCCGGUGUAGCGGUGAAGUGCGUAGAGACCGGGAAGAACACCAGUGGCGAAGGCGGCUACCUGGACAGGUACUGACGCUGAAGCGCGAAAGCUAGGGGAGCAAACAGG